CCGGGUGGGACUGGCCGGGCGUCGUAGCGGCGGCGACUGCGAGCCGAGCCCGGAGAAUGGCAGGGGCUAGAGUCGCUGCGGAGGCUGCUGCUGGUUUCUCUCCUUCGCCGCCUCCUCGCGCCCGCCGGGAACUUUUCCUAGCGGCUGGUGGCGGCGCCUCCCCCCGGUGGUGGCGGCGGCGGCGGCUGCUGCGUUUGGCGGUGCCUCCCGGGCCGGGGCUGGGGCUCCUGGGGCUGGUUUUCUCUCGUUUCUGCUGCAGUGCCUUAGCUGGACCGGUUGUUGAUCCACAUGUGACAGCAGUUUGGGGGAAGAAGGUUGCACUGAAAUGCGUAAUUGAUGUAAAUGAAACAAUAACACAAGUUUCCUGGGAGAAGAUAGAUGGUAAAAGUUCACAGACUAUUGCUGUUCAUCACCCUGAAUAUGGAAUAUCUGUUCAAGGAGAAUACCAAGGAAGAGUGGCAUUUAAAAACUACUCACUUACUGAUGCAACAAUCAUCUUAAAAAAUGUAAGCUUUUCUGAUGCAGGAGAAUAUGUUUGCAAGGCAGUUACAUUCCCACUUGGAAAUACACAGUCAUCAACAACUGUAACAGUAUUAGUUGAACCUGUUGUGAGCUUAAAGAAAGGACCAAACCCUCUAAUAGAUGGUGCAAAUAGGACAGUAGCAGCCACUUGUACAGCAGCCACUGGAAAACCUGCUGCGCAGAUUGACUGGGAAGGAGGCCUUGGUGAAAUGGAAUCCACCUCUACUUUGUUUCCAAAUGAAACAGUGACAGUUGUAAGCCACUAUGUGAUUGUCCCAACACGAUUUGCUAGAGGAAGACACAUAACUUGUGUUGUGAGGCACCCCACCUUUGAAAAGGAGAUGCGAUACACUUACGUGUUGGACAUACAGUAUACCCCAGAAGUUUCAGUAACUGGGUAUGAUGGAAACUGGUUCAUUGGAAGAGGAAAUGUUCAGCUCAAAUGUAAUGCCGAUGCAAAUCCAUUACCUAUGGAAUUCAUGUGGACCAGGUUGGAUGGACAGUGGCCUGAAGGAUUGUUGGCUGUUAACAAUACUCUGCAAUUCAGCAGCCCUUUGACUUAUAACUACACUGGGACUUAUAUCUGUAAGGUCACUAAUGCUCUUGGUCAGAAAAGUGAUCAGAAGACUAUCUACAUAUUAGAUGUGCCCUUUAAGCAGACAUCUUCUGUUGCUGUAGCAGGGGCUGUGAUUGGAGCAGUCCUUGCUCUUUUUAUCAUUACCAUCUUUGUGACAGUGCUGCUGACCCCAAGGAAGAAAAGGCCAGCCUAUCUUGACAAAGUGAUUGAUCUUCCACCCACUCACAAACCAGCCUCAUUUGGAGAGAGAACGUUGUCAGUGCCACAGAAAGAAGCUAUGCUUCAGCAGGUGAUGGCAUUAAAAUGAAGAGAAAUUAACUGGACCUGUGAAUAGUACUGGACGGCCGGUAUCUUUCAUGGAUACUUCUUGAGACUUGGAAACUUUCAGUUUACUUUAAAUAUACAUUCUCAUUUACCUGCUUGUGUUAAUAAUGAGCUAUCAGUAUGUACAAGUACUAUGUAACUGAGUACUCAUAAUUUCUCUGUACUGGUUUUUGAAGAUACCAAUUCAUGUGUUCUUGUGAGUCACUUCAGAACUGAGAAAAACUGGUUCACUUAUGGCCCUAAAAGAGGAAGGCAAAAGUCCAAAGCGUAAAAAUACAAUGGAAAAAAAUUACAUUAUAGCUUUAUUUACUAUGAAGACUUGUCAACUCUUUUGUCAACAGCACUGUUACUUUUGUCCAGGUAUUCUUUUAAUAAUCAUUGCCAUGGAAACGCUAUUCUGUUGCUCAGAACUAUCUAUUACAGGUAAUGUGAAAGAGUGGUGAGCAGCCUGAAGGUUAUGUCCUUGUUGAGAGAGGAAUCUCUGCUUAACAAUAUGGGUUUUGAGGUGAAUAAGGAAGAAGUUGAGCAAUGGAAUAUUUCCAGUGGCUUAAACAGGAAUUUUUCUAUUGCAUAAUAUUUUAAAAAGGAGUGUAAGAGGGUGCACUAAUUCUGGGAGUCCUUGGCAUCAUUAGAGUAAGCUUCACUGUUUCAAACAAUAUAUUGCUAAGAAGCAAAAACUUAUUUACUUUCCUCUAAACAUGCUUAAGAUGGGCAGUCUUUGACAAUGUUAAAGAACUGAAGUUAUUAUUAAUUUGACAGGUACUUCUGAAGGAAAGAAAAAAACAUGUUUUGCACAAUGCAGUGCAGCAUUCAGAGUUGUUGAAGGAUUUAGAAUUUAACAAGGCUCUUUUGUAACUAUAGAAAUAGGAGUGGAUAAGGGAAAUGCAGCCCAGUAAGUAUGUCUGGCCAUGAGAAGACUGACUUGAGACUUCCAGGUUGGAAGAAUGCCUCACUAUUUAGACAAGCAGAGUUCUUUAACUGUAAUAUUUGUAUUACUGAUCAAAACAGGAAAGAAAAAUAUGAAGUUGUCUUAGCACCAUUAAAAGUAUCAAAUACCAUUUAUCAAAUGAUGAUAUUUCUGAAUCAAAUUUGAAAACAUCAGCCACUGAGCCCUUAAACCUAGUAUAAUACUGAUUCAUUUAUGGAUUAUGGUUCUCUUGCACUCUUCUAUUUCUUUUCCUAAUGCUUUUUAUACAGGUGGGAAUAUCUCUUCCUUGAUGAAAAAGGAAGCAGUAUUGUUAUUAUUUGCCUUAAACCAAAGAACUGUUUAGACAAACAAGAUUGAAUGGAAGGGAACACAAAAUGUGCAUCAAUAAAAUAAUCUGUAUUGAUGAAGGAUCUUGCAAUAGGAAAAACAAAAUUACCAGAUUGGGGUUAGAAUGAGGCACAUGCUAUUCUGGUUUCCAGUGAGUCUCUAAAUCAUGUCCACAUCCACUGUUGGUAGAAUUCCUCAAGCAAGCAGAUUUGUUGUUGUUGUUUUGUUUUGAUUUUUGUUUAAAGAACAUUAGCUUUUGGUGGAGAUGGGACUUUUUUUGUUCCCCAUGUGUGUUUUGUCUCCUUGUGUGGUGAACUCAUGCUCUCAGCUCAGGUUUGAAGGAGCAACACUGCCUGCUAAGUAGUAAGUCACAUAUUCUCAGAAAUGCAGACUGCAUUUUAGGACUUGAGAAGCAAAAGCACGUUGACUUUAAGGGCAGGAGGGGAUACUUUGAAAUAGAAUUAUAAGACAAAAAGCUUGACAAACUAAAGUUGAAAAAUAAACCUGUGAAGAUGGUGAAAAAUAACUGUUGGACGAGUGGAAAAAGUUAGGAAAUAUUAGAUGAUUUUUGAAGAAAUUUUACAUAUUAAAACUUAACUCAAAAUUACUUCAAAACUUUACUAAACAAAUGUGGAAAGGUAAAAAGUUAAGGGGAAGGAGGAGAAAGUAAGAACAAAAUAUUACUGAGAUUGGGUUCUCUUCAAAAUAGUUCUUGAAAGUAAGAAUACGGAUAUAUGACCACUGGAAAUGUUACCUACCUGUAUGAAUACUUGUGGAGGGGCUUCUGCACAAAGAUCAGCAACCUAGCCUACUUUGUGUUGCUGCUAGCACUGUGAUACUGUUGGGAAAAGAUGGAAUUUCAAAACAAAAAAUACAUACGAUUGUGCGAAGGUGUUGCUUUAGCCUAUUGUGGUCCUGUACUAUGUGUAGCAUAAAGGAAGAACUUUACUAGGAGUGAUGAUACCAGAGUACAAACUGUACCCUAAAUCGUAAUUCUUAGAUGGCAUUACUUGGUGUGAUUUAAUCAGCCGUUAACUCAGGCAGUUGGUGAUUAACUGGAUGUUUGAAAACAGUCCAUUUCACAAAUGAAGUUUUUCUAUCAUAAUGGUGAAGAAAAAAAUAAACGUGAAAGAAGGGAGAUUUCAAUGCUUCUGCAUGAAGUAACUUCUCAUCCACCAACAUUCUCAAGUCCUGCUCCUCAGAACUGCUCUCAAUCACUUCUCUGCCCAGCUUGUGUUUGUGUUUAUGAUUGCUCUUACCUGUGUUUAUGAUUGCACCUGAAAGGUGCAGGACUUUUCUCUUGGCCUUGUUGAACUUCACAAGGUUCACACAGAGCCACCUCUCAAGCCUGCCAAGGUCCCUCUGGAGGGCAUCCCUUUGCCUUCAGUAUGUUACACACCACACAGCUUGGUGUUAUUUGCAAACUUGCUGAGGGUACCUUGAUCCCACUGUCAUGUUGCCAAAGAGAUGUUAAACAGUGCUGGUCCUGAUACGGACCCCUGAGGAAUGUCACUUGUCACUGGUCCUUGCUUGGAUUUUGAGCCAGCAAUGAGCCAUCUCUGAGUGUGACCAUCCAGUCAGUUUUUUAUCCACUGAGUCGUCCACCCAUCAGAUCCAUGUCUCCUCAGUUUAGAGAUGUCAUGUGAGACAGCAUCAAAUGCUUUGCAUAAGUCCAGGUAGGUGACAUCAGUUGCUCUUCCUUUUUCCACCAACACUAUGAUCCUGUCAUAGACAGCCACUAAAUUUGUCAGGCUCAAUUUGCCCUUAGUGAAACCAUGAUGAUGGUUACCCACCAUCUCCUUAUUUUCUAUAUGCCUUAGCAUAGUUUCUGCUCCUUCAUCUUGCUGGGCACUGAAGUGUGGCUGACCUGUAGUUUCUCAGGUCAUCUGUUUUUAGACCUGGGGGUCUUAUUUCCCCUUUCUCAGACAGUGUGCACCACAGUCUUGCCACUACUUCUAAAACAAGGUGGAUAGUGGGUUAGUCACUUCCUGUGAAAGUGUCUUCAGAACUUGCAAAUGUAUCUUAUCAGGUCCACUGAACUUGUUCACCUCCAGAUUCCUUAGCUGAUCUUGAACCUCAUCUCUUAUUGUUGGCAGUUUGGCUGGGGUGAAACUAAUUUUCUUUGCAGUAGCUGAGUAGCUGGUAUGGGGCUGUGUUUGGGAUUUGUGCUGAAAAUAGUGUUGAAAACUCAGGGAAGUUUUUUAUUGCUGGACAGCAUUGGGACUUAUUCUGCUGCUUGUACUGCCCUGCCAGCAGAUGGACUUGGGGUGUACACAGAAUAUUGGGAGGGAGACAAGAUAUUGGGAGAGGGAACACAGCUGGGACAGGUGACCCUGACUGAUCCUCAUCUUUUUUCCAGUCACCAUUGGAUUGUAAGAAGGAUUCUAAAUGAUAACCAGAUAAGACACUACCUAAGGCAGAGUGUAUUUUGGGAUGACUGGUGUUUUUUUGUAUUUACCAAAGCUGUUCUGCAGUUUUGAAUCUUGCCUUGUUUCCCCUGUAACUUUUCUUCUUUCAGAAAGAACAUUUUACUUUGCAGAGCCAGUACAGAGAGAGAGAUGCUGGAAACUUGGAGCACAUGAAAACUGUGAAUGGAAGGCAACUUACUUGUGGAGCUGAAGAGCCACAGGAGCAAGAGGAUCUUCAGCCUAUGUAUCCUGUUUAUCAG